UGAGGAAUAUUGGUCAAUGGCCGGGAGGCUGAACCAGCCAAGUCGCGUGAGGGAUGACGGUCCUAUGGAUUUGUAAACCUCUUUUGUCGGGGAGCAAAAGGCAUCACGUGUGAUGCUCCGAGAGUACCCGAAGAAAAAGCAUCGGCUAACUCCGUCGCC
rnacentral:rRNA from 1 species